GCUAGACGAAGUAGCAUGUGCCUAUGGUCCCAGCUACUUGGGAACCUGAGGUCAGAGGAUUGCUUGAGCCCAGGAGUUCUAGGUUGUGGUACACUAUGCUGAUUGGGUGUCCCCACUAAGUUCGGCAUCAAUAUAGUGACCUCCAGGGAGCUGGAAACCACCAGGUUGCCUAAAGAGAGGUGAACCAGCCCAGGUUGGAAACAGAGCAGGUCAAAACUCCCAGGCUGACCAGUAGUGCGGUCGUGCUUGUGAAUAGCCACUGCACUCCAGCCUAGGCAACAUAGUGAGACCCCCAUCUCA
rnacentral:SRP_RNA from 1 species